rnacentral:rRNA from 1 species
CCCUUAGAUGUUCUGGGCCGCACGCGUGCUACACUGAGUGGAUCAGCGGGUCAGGUUGCGCGAAAGUGUUUCCUAAUCUUGAAAUCCGCUCGUGAUGGGGAUUGACGGUUGCAAUUUUCCGUCAUGAACGAGGAAUACCUUGUAAGCGCGGGUCAUCAUCCCGCGCUGAAUACGUCCCUGCCCUUUGUACACACCGCCCGUCGCUCCUACCGAUUGAGCGUUUUGGUGAGCACUCUGGAGUGCAGCAAUGCAUAAAUGAAUGCAAACCUGAGCGUUUAGAGGAAGGAUAAGUCGUAACA